GGGGAAUCUUGCGCAAUGGACGAAAGUCUGACGCAGCGACGCCGCGUGGGUGAUGAAGGCCUUCGGGUCGUAAAGCCCUGUGGGGAGAGAAGAAUAAGCAAGGGCUAAUACUCCUUGUGAUGACGGUAUCUCCUUAGCAAGCACCGGCUAACUCUGUGCCAGCAGCCGCGGUAAGACAGAGGGUGCAAACGUUGUUCGGAAUUACUGGGCGUAAAGCGUGUGUAGGCGGUUCUGUAAGUCAGGUGUGAAAGCCCGGGGCUCAACCCCGGAAGUGCACUUGAUACUGCAGGGCUAGAGUACCGGAGAGGUUGGUGGAAUUCUCGGUGUAGAGGUGAAAUUCGUAGAUAUCGAGAGGAACACCGGUGGCGAAGGCGGCCAACUGGACGGAUACUGACGCUGAGACACGAAAGCGUGGGGAGCAAAC
rnacentral:rRNA from 1 species